CCAAUGCUGAAAAAUACAUGUAAAUCACUGUGGUUCCUAGGAGCAUAGUUAACUACUGUAUGUUGGGAAUUUUAGAGAAGUUCGCAAUAAAGUGGGAACUUCUCUAACUUCUCUGGAACUUCUCUAACUUCUCUGGACCGUCUAUCUAGUGCACUACAAAGUGGUGGAUUCAAACCCGCUAAAUAGUCAUAGAGGGCCGUGCUUGCUAAAUUCCUUCACACAUACUCAAAUUAAUGCUGAGAAAGGGACUUUCUUUUAUAUAGUUUUUUGUUGUUG